UACGUAGGGGCCGAGCGUUGUCCGGAGUUAUUGGGCGUAAAGCGCGCGCAGGCGGCCUCGCGCGCCCGACGUGAAAGCCCCCGGCUUAACCGGGGAGGGUCGUUGGGGACGGCGGGGCUUGAGGGCGGGAGAGGUCGGUGGAAUUCCCGGUGUAGUGGUGAAAUGCGUAGAGAUGUGGAGGAACACCAGUGGCGAAGGCGGAUUUCUGGUCUGUAACUGACGCUGAGGCGCGAAAGCGUGGGGAGCAAACAGG
rnacentral:rRNA from 1 species